AUUGAACGCUGGCGGCAGGCUUAACACAUGCAAGUCGAACGAGAUCUUCGGAUCUAGUGGCAGACGGGUGAGGAACACGUGGGAACAUCCCUUUCAGUUCGGAAUAACGUUGGGAAACUAACGCUAAUACCGGAUACGUCCUUCGGGAGAAAGAUUUAUCGCUGAAAGAUUGGCCCGCGUCUGAUUAGCUAGUUGGUGAGGUAACGGCUCACCAAGGCUACGAUCAGUAGCUGAUCUGAGAGGAUGAUCAGCCACAUUGGGACUGAGACACGGCCCAAACGCCUACGGGAGGCAGCAGUGGGGAAUAUUGGACAAUGGGCGCAAGCCUGAUCCAGCCAUGCCGCGUGAGUGAUGACGGCCUUCGGGUUGUAAAGCUCUUUUGUCCGGGAAGAUAAUGACUGUACCGGAAGAAUAAGCCCCGGCAAACUACGUGCCAGCAGCCGCCGUAAGAC
rnacentral:rRNA from 1 species